GUCCACAAUAGUUCAGUGGUAGAACAGCCCGCAACGCUGGAUAGUCAAAAGCGGACGGUCGGAGGUUCAAUUCCUUCUGUGGGCA